UACGGAGGGUGCAAGCGUUAUCCGGAAUCACUGGGUUUAAAGGGUGCGUAGGCGGCUAUGUAAGUCAGUUGUGAAAUACCUCGGCUUAACCGAAGGAAGUGCGAUUGAUACUGCGUAGCUUGAAUCAGGUUGAGGUAGGCGGAAUGUGGCAUGUAGCGGUGAAAUGCUUAGAUAUGCCAUAGAACACCAGUGGCGAAGGCGGCUUACUGGUCCGGUUCUGACGCUGAGGCGCGAAAGCGUGGGGAGCAAACAGG
rnacentral:rRNA from 1 species